rnacentral:lncRNA from 1 species
GACUUGAACUAGAAAAUGAUAUCACAAAACGUUAAAAAAUGUAUGUAUUAUUAGGGUUUUAUUUAAGAUCCCACAAUUUGCUGAACAUUGAAAAUCGAAUGUUCUAGCAAACGGGACAAGGUUUCCUUGUGCACACCUAUCAUUCUUAUAUAGUGAAUUGUUAAUUAAAAAGACAAAGUCGCGAAGAAAUAAAACUAUUUAUCUAACAAGC